GAUUUAUGUAUGCAUACUAUGUACAGGGGUUCCAGUGAAUCCACUAGCGAGGAGACGUCUGAAUCAUCGAGCAGCGAGUCCAGUGAGUCGGAGAGUAGUGAGGAGACGACCGUGGCCACGACGAGUACCACCACAGCGGACGAGACGACCACACCGGAAGUAACGACCACA